UAAUAUUUGUUCUCUUUUAAUGAAAAACUUAAGUCAAAGGUAUUUUUUAAUACCUAAUGGUUCCGAAGAAGAUAAUUUUAAAAACCAGAUUGCUAAGGUAGCCAUAAGAUGCAAGGACAAUGGUGUCCCUAAGUCACUCUUUACUCAAACUUGUUGGUGUCUUCAGAGAAAUGGGAAUGGUCACAGGAGAACAGGAAGCAGUAAGUAAUGUCCAUUGGAGCACAUCAAAAGGUACAUUGUUCCCUGUGGAGACUCCCCACACAACCCCCAGUGCUUCCUGCUCACUGUGAAUGCCAAAGUGAGGCAGGCAUUCUAACCUGGUACCUCCCAGGCCCAGGAUAGCGCCCAAACACUGCCUUCAGCUUAGUCCACACCGAGACGCAGCUCUCCAGAGACUGAUCAGAAAUAGUCUGUUUGCUUUCAUGACUCUGCUUUACUGCAUUUUCAACUCGGACCUUGCCUGAAACAGGCACAUAUACAUUGAAGAGUGCACUUUGGUACUGUGUCAAUCAUACAUCAAUCAUCCCACUUGAUUCCAUACCAUUUCUUUGUGGUAAAAGCAUCCCUGACAGGCCAUAACGUGUCCCAAGUCCCUCUAUCAAAAGGCUCUUGGGGGUACAGUGGCAGCCCACCAAGAUCCAGGGCCCCUUCUCCAAUUCUAAUGUAAACAGGUUGAAUAAAUACAACACCAGGCUAUGAGGAGCUGUAACAGGUAGCCUAAAGCCAACAGACAACCAUUUUCUAUUUGUAGGUGGAAAGGUUCCUCUCUUGGCUCUUAGGACAAACUAUAUUUGUACAGUUAAGAGUAAACAGUGUAUCAGGUGAAAAAAGAAACAUUCGUUGGCAUUUCAGCUAGUUACUUCCUGUCUUGCAUAGUCUGCUUGCUUGCUUUGCUGGUGGUUAUGCCUGAGCAAACUGGAAUCUGCUGGACUGAACUGUGGCUCAGCCUGGAGGGCAAGCAGCAGCUAGGGAGAGCCUGGCUGCUGUUGCUGUUGCUGCUGCUGCUGCUGCUGCUGCUGCUGCGGGGACCUGGAACCAUGUGGAAACUGCUCCUGGCCCAGCUUGACAGCUGAAGGCUGAACUGUCUGUGCCUCAUCCACAGCAGCAGUGAAGAGCAUGGGCAAGUCUGGCCUCAGCACGGCCUUGUCUAACUCAAGAGUCUAGGGUCAGCUCCCAUAUCACUUAAGUUCCCAUACUCCUGGCAACACAGUUGCACUUCCCCAGGAGAAAUGCUGCCAAUGCCCACAGCUGUCUGCUCACAGGGGGUGUGGGGGUGGGGCAUGGCACUUUUUCCUCCAUCCAGUUUGACUAGAACCUGGUGACCUCUGUAUCUCCAAGUCUCUCAUACAGAACAAUCCUCAGAAAGCUACAGUGGAUAACAAAACUGGGAAAUUUGCAUUUCUGGGUCAUCUUUCAAAAAAAAAAAGUGCAGCAGCCUCAUCCUCAAAUCCUACUGAGUUAUCAGAACUUAAACCAGCUCCAUUCCUCCUAAAGGCUCAAUGUAAGGAGUAUUAUAAGGCUGGUGAGCAAAGAGCUCACUAGGAAAGGUUUAGGACCCUAUGGAGUUUGAUUUUCAAAGAAACAGCAAAGGCUGUAAUUAAAAUGACAGCUAUUCCAACCAAAAUCCCACCAAUUAUUUAAAUCACACUGAUUUUGGUUUGGUACUUAAUGGUUUUCCCCAUUAUAUAUAUUGUGGGUGUAUUCAGGGGAUAUAGGUAUAUCUUAACUGAAGAAAACAGAAGAAAAAAACAGUCAUCUGGAUGUCCCUUUUACAAACCGUGUAACUUUUACAGUUAUUUGGGCUCUAGAGCACUACAGUGGGAAGUGGCUGGAGCUGGUCUAGAUUUAACCUCAUGAUGAUGAACUAGCUACCCUUUCCUACUGGCUCUCUGCUUCAGUUAUAAGCUAGAAAGAAACCCCAAGUCACUGCUGGGUCUGGUGAGGAGUCAGGUUGGGAUACAUUAGGAGGUCACUCAAGUGAAAGAUGUUCUUCAG
ensembl:lncRNA